ACAAACUUGGUCAUUUAGAGGAAGUAAAAGUCGUAACAAGGUUUCCGUAGGUGAACCUGCGGAAGGAUCAUUACUGAGUUAGGGUCUUCCAUGGCCCGAUCUCCAACCCUUUGUUAAUUCUACCACGUUGCUUCGGCGGGCCCGCUCCCCUGGGAGCCGCCGGAGGACCACUACGGUUCUCUGGCCCGUUUGCCCGUCGAUGGCCUCGAAUUUCUAAACUCUUGAUGAAACUAUGUUGUCUGAGUCUAAAUGUUAAAUCGUUUUAAAACUUUCAACAACGGAUCUCUUGGUUCUGGCAUCGAUGAAGAACGCAGC
rnacentral:misc_RNA from 1 species